rnacentral:rRNA from 1 species
AGGGAAUUUUCCACAAUGGACGAAAGUCUGAUGGAGCAACGCCGCGUGCAGGAUGAAUGCCUUCGGGUUGUAAACUGCUUUUAUAUGUGACGAUUAUGACGGUAGCAUAUGAAUAAGCCCCGGCUAACUACGUGCCAGCAGCCGCGGUAAUACGUAGGGGGCGAGCGUUGUCCGGAUUUACUGAGCGUAAAGAGCGCGUAGGCGGAUGUUUAAGUGUGGCCUCAAAGCCCCCGGCUCAACCGGGGAUCUGGGUUGCAAACUGGGCAUCUUGAGGGGGAUAGAGGAGAGUGGAAUUCCUGGUGUAGCGGUGAAAUGCGUAGAUAUCAGGAGGAACACCCGUGGCGAAGGCGGCUCUCUGGGUCCGCCCUGACGCUGAGGCGCGAAAGCGUGGGGAGCGAA